CUAACACAUGCAAGUCGAACGGUAACAGGAAACAGCUUGCUGUUUCGCUGACGAGUGGCGGACGGGUGAGUAAUGUCUGGGAAACUGCCUGAUGGAGGGGGAUAACUACUGGAAACGGUAGCUAAUACCGCAUAACGUCGCAAGACCAAAGAGGGGGACCCUCGGGCCUCUUGCCAUCGGAUGUGCCCAGAUGGGAUUAGCUUGUUGGUGGGGUAACGGCUCACCAAGGCGACGAUCCCUAGCUGGUCUGAGAGGAUGACCAGCCACACUGGAACUGAGACACGGUCCGGACUCCUACGGGAGGCAGCAGUGGGGAAUAUUGCACAAUGGGCGCAAGCCUGAUGCAGCCAUGCCGCGUGUAUGAAGAAGGCCUUCGGGUUGUAAAGUACUUUCAGCGGGGAGGAAGGGAGUAAAGUUAAUACCUUUGCUCAUUGACGUUACCCGCAGAAGAAGCACCGGCUAACUCCGUGCCAGCAGCCGCGGUAAUACGGAGGGUGUAAGCGUUAAUCGGAAUUACUGGGCGUAAAGCGCACGCAGGCGGUUUGUUAAGUCAGAUGUGAAAUCCCCGGGCUCAACCUGGGAACUGCAUCUGAUACUGGCAAGCUUGAGUCUCGUAGAGGGGGGUAGAAUUCCAGGUGUAGCGGUGAAAUGCGUAGAGAUCUGGAGGAAUACCGGUGGCGAAGGCGGCCCCCUGGACGAAGACUGACGCUCAGGUGCGAAAGCGUGGGGAGCAAACAGG
rnacentral:rRNA from 1 species